CCAGUCUUCGAUCGUCAGGAAAUCUCCCUCUGACGAAGUGUCUGUGUCGGAUUCCGGGUAAUACAGUGACAAAGAUGCGUAUUUUUCAAUUAUAGCCAUUUGUGCCUCUCUCUUUUCCUCCCAAAACCCCUCGUUUCCUUCUUCUUCACCUUCGUAUUCUUCAUGUAUAACCUCCAAUGGUGCCCUCACGUCCCAUUCCACAAAGCACUCAGCUAAAACAUUGGGAACCAAAUUCAAAUUCAGCUUCGGAUCGCUACGGGAUUCACAUGAAACCCGGUUGAGAUCAUGAAGAGAAAAUUCUUCAUUCUGCGGUAAUAAUUUCUCGGUGGAAUCGAAUUCCGGGGAAUGGGGUCCAGUUUCCUUCUGGGUUUUUUGACUUGCACCGAGACGGAGAAGAUAGAGUAAGAUAAUUGAGGUGAAAAUUAGGACAGGGGAGAAAAUGAGUCUAUGAAAAAAAGUUGGGAAGUACAGUAGAAUCAGAGUGUAGAAAGUGAAGAUGGUGGAGAAUAGAGUGUUUGAGCUAAGAAAGGAGAGUGUUUCUUGAAGAAAGGUAAAGAAAUUGGAUUCUCUUUGUUUUUGCUUCUCCUCCAUUGAUGAAUUUCUGAAGGUGAAAAGGCACUCAAUUGUGGGAGAUAUUUAUGAGCAGG
rnacentral:lncRNA from 1 species